rnacentral:rRNA from 1 species
GAUGAACGCUAGCGAUAGGCCUAACACAUGCAAGUCGAGGGGCAUCACAUGAAGUAGCAAUACGGAUGGUGGCGACCGGCGCACGGGUGAGUAACACGUAUGCAACCUGCCUUCAACAAGGGGAUAACCCGUUGAAAGACGGACUAAUACCCUAUAACACAGGGGUCCCGCAUGGGGAUAUUUGUUAAAGGACAACCGGUUGAAGAUGGGCAUGCGUUCCAUUAGCUAGUUGGCGGGGUAAGGGCCCACCAAGGCAACGAUGGAUAGGGGAACUGAGAGGUUUAUCCCCCACACUGGUACUGAGACACGGACCAGACUCCUACGGGAGGCAGCAGUGAGGAAUAUUGGUCAAUGGACGCAAGUCUGAACCAGCCACGUCGCGUGAAGGAAGACGGCCCUACGGGUUGUAAACUUCUUUUGCAAGGGAAUAAAGUGGGCCACGUGUGGCCUUUUGCAAGUACCUUGCGAAUAAGGAUCGGCUAACUCCGUGCCAGCAGCCGCGGUAAAUCACACUA